rfam:Claviceps purpurea 20.1, WGS project CAGA01000000 data, contig: scaffold00031
GCCCGGUUAGCUCAAUCGGUAGAGCGUGAGACUCUUACCAUACAUGAAAUCUCAAGGUUGCGGGUUCGACCCCCGCAUCGGGCU